CCAGCGAACUUGGCAGAGAUGCCUUGGUGCCUUCGGGAACGCUGAGACAGGUGCUGCAUGGCUGUCGUCAGCUCGUGUUGUGAAAUGUUGGGUUAAGUCCCGCAACGAGCGCAACCCUUAUCCUUUGUUGCCAGCGAUUCGGUCGGGAACUCAAAGGAGACUGCCGGUGAUAAACCGGAGGAAGGUGGGGAUGACGUCAAGUCAUCAUGGCCCUUACGAGUAGGGCUACACACGUGCUACAAUGGCGCAUACAAAGAGAAGCGACCUCGCGAGAGCAAGCGGACCUCAUAAAGUGCGUCGUAGUCCGGAUCGGAGUCUGCAACUCGACUCCGUGAAGUCGGAAUCGCUAGUAAUCGUGGAUCAGAAUGCCACGGUGAAUACGUUCCCGGGCCUUGUACACACCGCCCGUCACACCAUGGGAGUGGGCUGCAAAAGAAGUAGGUAGCUUAACCUUCGGGAGGGCGCUUACCACUUUGUGAUUCAUGACUGGGGUGAAGUCGUAACAAGGUAGGCGUAGCGAG
rnacentral:rRNA from 1 species